rnacentral:rRNA from 1 species
UACGUAGGGGGCAAGCGUUGUCCGGAUUUAUUGGGCGUAAAGAGCGUGUAGGCGGCUUUACAGGUCCGUUGUGAAACUCGAGGCUCAACCUCGAGACGCCGGUGGAAACCGUAAAGCUAGAGUCCGGAAGAGGAGAGUGGAAUUCCUGGUGUAGCGGUGAAAUGCGCAGAUAUCAGGAAGAACACCCGUGGCGAAGGCGGCUCUCUGGGACGGUACUGACGGCUGAGACGCGAAAGCGUGGGGAGCGAACAGG